UCUCUAUGGCCUGCCCAUGCAUUCCUUUAACUAUGGCGGGCCUAAUAUAUUUUUCUUUGUUGGAUGUAUUUCUUAAAAUUAGGUUGAUACAAUCACUCUUCCCUCAAGAUCUAAAUUUCCAUGGGAGCCGAGUUGUGACCUUCCACAAUCAGCGUGACUUUAGUUUCUUCCGUCACCAUAAGUACAUUUUUGAGACCAAGGAAAGCAAGCCAAGUGAUUCGAAAGGUAAAAAAAAUGGAGGGUGACAGGGAUAAAAAAAUCUCUCGAGAAAGAGUGGCUGCACGCCUUCAGGAAUGUGGUCCACAUAUCACAUUGAAGUUGAUAAGUCUGCAACAUGGAACAUUCGAUACCAAAAAUGGGGAAUAUGAGUGGGUUCACAAGCUGGAGAUGGACACUAACCGCAGGGGGUUUUUCUUAUGAUCUGUUUGGACAUGUUCUUUCGAGUUCAUUCAUUGCAGAAGGGAAGCAUAUUUUUGUAGAGAGAUUUGGUUCCUACACCUGAACAAGAACUGAUGAGCAAUAUACAAUGUUUCCUCUCUUCACUAAACUAGCCAAUUUCCGAGAAGAUCAUUGCUUCUUAUUGUGGGCCUAUGUUGUAUUAGCUCAGAAUGUUCUGUUCUAUGUGCAAUUCCAAAACGAAUAUACAAUUUGUUGAUUUAU